rnacentral:lncRNA from 1 species
CUUAAAGGUUUGCUUAAUCCUAAAUGUCUAUAGGAGAUAACACAUAAGUUAAAUCCUUAUAGUACGAGUAUAAUGUUUUUCUGUUUUUGUUUUGUUUUGAGAUGGACUUUUGCUCAUUUCCCAGGCUGGGGUGCAAUGGCGCGAUCUCUGUUCACUUCAACCUCCACCUCCCAGGUUCAAGCGAUUCUCCUGCCUCAGCCUCCCCAGUAGCUGGGAUUACAGGCAUGUGCCACGACAUCCAGCUAAUUUUGUAUUUUUAGUAGAGAAGGGGUUUUGCCAUGUUGGCCAGACUGGUCUCUAACUCCUUACCUCAGGUGAUCCACCUGCCUCAGCUUCCGAAAGUGUUGGAAUUACAGGCAUGAGCCACCCUGCCCUGCCUGUCAUGUUAAUUGUAUUUUAUUAUAUCCUUAAUUCCUUCAAAACUUAAAAUUAUAUCUUAUAAUAAUUAAUAGGAAAAUUCAGUUGAACAUUAUAUCUUAUUUUUAACAUUUAUGAGUAAUAAGAGUUACUUCAUUAAGAAAUUUGAAAGAGGUAGUUUAAAGAUGCCUUUCCAAAGGAAGAAGAAGAAGAAAAAAAAGGAGGACAAGAAGGUAGAAGAGGAGGAAGAGGAGGAGAAGGAAGCCAUGGCAAGGACAACUGGCUACAACCUGCUACUUCAUAUUUUUUCAAAAGGUCCAUGGUGUUUUAAGAAUUCAGAGGACUCUAUUCCUAUUGACAUUACAUAAGAGAAUUGCUCUCCACAGCUGUAAAGAAAGAGAAAUACUGCAAUGAGAUGAUACACUAAAAGUGAGCAUGAGCAAUGAGAUGUACUAAAGGUAAGCAUGAGAAAAUCUAAAUUUAGCAGGAUAUUUAUUUUUUCUGUACAGGAAAUUUUUGCUGAUUAUUGAGAUGGCCAAAGAAAUUU